rnacentral:tRNA from 1 species
GCCGGGAUGGUGGAAUUGGUAGACGCAGCGGACUCAAAAUCCGCCGAUGGCAACAUCUUGCGAGUUCAAGUCUCGCUCCCGGUA